GUCAAUCUGGGUACCAACAAAGAUUUCAACUUUUUGCAAACCUAUAUAAAAUUUAUUAAAGACCAAAAAGAAGUUACCCC
rnacentral:rRNA from 1 species